GCAACAGAAAUCCGUCGCGGGGGCUUUUAAUUUAUCUCUAAAAUAUUUAUAUUCUUAGCAACCAAAAAUUCCGUCGUUAGUUUUAUCCUAAAAAAAAUCUAGGUUUUAGUUAGCAACGGAUUUUAAAAAGGGUUGCUAAAUCCGUCGCUAGGUCCAAAUUAAAAGGACAUUUUCUAGGGCACAAAUCCACACUUCUUUUAUUUUGAAACACCACAAAACCAGAGAAAUACUCCUAGAAAAACCAGAGAAAUCACUCAGUCUCUCUACUGUUUUCCACCAUGUGAACGCCAUCAUCCUUCCGUAAUUACUUAGAUCCUAGUGAGGAGUUGUUUGGUUAAAGAAUUACAACAUUGGGCACCUUCUUAUCUCUUUCGUUCCCAGUGAUCGACUGAGAUUCAAGACGGCCUCUUCUUCCACAUAAAAGAGAGCCCUCAAGAACAAGAAUAGAGCCCUCAAGAAUAUAAUUCUCACUUUCUCUUUCGAAAAAAAAAAGUACCUCAAGUAAUCUUCUCUAAAGUUCCUUUCUGCUUGCUCAUUUUUAAGCUGUGCUUGUUGGGUUCUUGAGUUCUGUUUGUAACUUCUGUUUCGCGAUCUCUAUUUUUGAAAUUGUGAAUUUUGAAUUUGACAAAUUGGGUUUAGGGAUUUGUAAGUUACAAGUUAAUUGAAAGUUACAAUCGAUGGGUUGUUUGUUGGAUUCUAUAUUCUGCAUUAUGAUAUUUAUUAGAGUCACUGUUCUAAAGUUCUUGUUUUGGGAAAUUUAAGGCGAUUAAGGUGAAAAGUUUCUAUUUUGUAUUUAGUUCUGUGUGAAUUUCUGAUCGAGCACAGUUGUAUAUAUCUACUUCAAUGUUUUUUUCUUACAAUUCUUUUAGUUUGCGCCAGUUUCUUGAAACUUCAGUGAGUUUCUUUUUUUUUUUUUUUU